UAACAGCCCCUCCCUUGGUCAUCCCUGGGAACCACAGCACAUGAGUAGUUCGGUGAGGAAGCAAAUCCUUGACCCUGCCCUUGGCUGGGGAGAGGGAGGGACGUCAGUUUCUGUACAGAUGGAAACUAGGAAAAAGUGAGUGUUGUCUUGUGUUCCCAACUCCACCCCCCACCCACUGUCCUGGACAAAAGAGAGAGAUGGAAGAACUUUAGAAAGGGAGACUCCCUGGGUGGGUACAGGAGGCUGUGGUUACCACUAGGUAUGGGAGGGUAGAGAGCUCUAUUUGUGGACUGUUGGGAAGGGCCUCCGUAUCUCCCUUGGUGACUCCUGUUCCGUUACAGUGGUGACAAUUACUAAGAUCGGCUGUGCUUGGCACAGCAGAGGCCCCAGCAUAGAUCACCAACUGGGCAAUGAAGGCAAAGGGGGCUUCCCUGCACUGGGAAGAGGGACUGAGGGUGAGUCCAAUCUUGGAUGCAGCCAAGACCAGCCCUGAGGCUGCUGCAGAGUUAAGGUGGAGGCUGGCAAGGCUUCUCUGCUAGAGAGGAGACUUUGCUUCCAGCCAAGAACCAUGCAGGGCUACCAGUACCCACUCUGGUGAGAUCCAGGAAAGUCAGCCAGAAAAGAUGAGCCUGAGCACCCACUGGCCUAGCAAGGGAAGAGGGGACCCAUGGAGGGAGAGGAGGAGCCCAACCAGGGAGUGAGAACAAGGAGGAGGAGGGAGAUGUUGCUCCCAGGAACUGCAGGCAGGGUUCUUCCCCAUGUGACCUGACAUAUCAGGGAGUCCAUCAUCCAAGGCAUCCGGGGACCUAGGGAGUUAGGGAGGUCAUAUCGCAGGGACAGAACUGUGGGUUGGGACCACAGGAGGACAUUACGCUCCUCUGGCCCAGUGUUGAGGCUCCCAGUCACUACUCAUGACAGACAGUUCGACUGAGCUCCAGAGGAAACAGGAGGAUUUACUCUUCCUAAAUGAGUCAUUGUCAUUCUCCUGGAGGAAGUCCAUCAAUUUACACAGAUUCAGAGGCCCUACUGCCUGGGAGGAAGACCCACUCAGCAUCCAGGAAGAAAUGCAGGAGGCAGGGCCAAGGGUCAGAACACAGGCUUGCUGCAAAGGGACUAAAGUGGGCAGCUGUCGUUACAGAGCAGGACAUGGGCCCUCAAGUUGAGGGUGAAAAUGAGUCUGCCCUGAGGUUGUUUGGUCUGCAGAAGACAGGACACAUAAAGGCCCUCUAUCCCAGGGAACAGGGCCCUCUCAAGGCCAAAACUUCACCCUGAGGGUCCAGAAGAGUAAGACAUACACAGGGCAGAUGGUUAUUCAGGUGAGUAUCUGCAAGGAGUUACCCAGAACUCCUAGGUAAUCUUGGGAACACUGAGAUAAGGCUCAUCUCUGGAAGACAGCAGCCAAGAGCCCCUAGCUGGGUUGUGGCAAUACCAGCCUAAUUAUUCUAAGGGCUUCUAUAAAGACGGAGAUGGAGAGAAUGAGACAGAGAUGGAGGAAAUGAAGGAUCCAGGACCACCAACUUUGGCCACCCAGGAGAGAACAGCCAGCACCAUGGCCUGCUGGCCUUGCCUGAGGUACCAGAAGGAGGGUGGGCAAAGCCAUUGGGAAUGAUAAGCAAUCCCUGCUUCAGGGAUGCAAGACUUCGGAAAUGAAGAGAAAGAGAAUGAGGCAAGGGUCCUCCUCUAAGACCAUACUGAGAAAAAAAUGAAGUUCUUGGACCUUUCCCACAGGGAUCAGGCAGUGUAGGACAGAUCAGAUUUACCAGAAGCAAAGAGCCCUGAGGUUUGUCCUGCCCCAGAUUUUUGGGUGCAUCUGUGGAGGUGGUACAUGAAGCAUCUUAUGUUGGGCAUUAGAAGACGUGUGGUGCUAAUGCUGUUCACUAAAUAUCCCAGCUCUCCAUUGUCUGGGCCAAGGUGGGCUUGUGCCUCCUGGUCCCUUGUGGUUGGGUGGGGUCAGGGGACUAGCGCUGGCCAAAGAGCUAAGAGUGGAUAUGAUGUGUGUAAUUUAUGGACCCAAGCGUUUAAUUGUGUGCAACCCUCAGAGUUCUCUCCCUUUCUUCCGUGGAGGCAGGUCACAUUCAGGAUGCUGGCUAUUCCUUUAGCCUACUUCUUGAAUGAGGAAACGUGGGACAGGACCCCCAGCUGACCCACGAUGGACUUGUGACAUUCAUCGGAGAGAAACUUUGCUGCGUUCUGAGUUACUAAGAUUGGGAUUGUUUCUUAAUGCAGCAUAACCUGGUCUAUCCUGGCACACCCCUGCUGGCUUCCUUCCUCGGACCAGAGGCCCAGCCAGGGACUGUCAUAUGUGAGAGGUCUGUCAGCAAGUGGGAGACGGAGGGCAGAUCAAAGCAGCCCUUAGUCUCCACCUGAGCCAGGGUGGAGUGGACUUCUUCAUGGGAGUGGAUAUAACAGAGCCUUUAGCCAAACCAGACAAAAGGUGCCAGAUGAAGGUUCUGGAUGUGGAUUCCGCUUCUAAUCAGUCCGUGUUAAGGGCAGACGCUCUAAUGUCACCAGAUAUCCUGAGGCUGUUCCACCAACCUCUUGGUGCCUGUACUGGAGCCAGAUUUUUCUGCCUGGUCCAGGGUUUGAAUUUUAACCUAAGAUUAUGGUAUGUUCUGGUAGGUUUUACCCUCGUGGUCAGGGGCAGGAGCUGUUUUAUUUAUUGCUAUAUUCCUCGCCCAUGGCUGGGACCAGCUGGCAUUCAACAAGUGUUUGCUGACCAAGGAAUGAGACCAUGUGACAAAAACUUCACCCCCUCUUCGUAGGAGGCUGCUGAAGAAACCCCAGACGACCCAUGGAAACAGCCACCCUGGGGACCACUGUGCCGCCCUGCUGUCUGGACAUGGGAGGAUCCUGGAGUUUCUCUGACCAGCGCCUCAGUCUUUGCUUGAGGAAUAUGUCGAGACGAGAGCCAAACCCAAGCCUGUCUCCACCAGAGCCUGUGCCCUUUACACAGACAGUAGUUCGCGUAAGUCUGAUCUUUUUAAUGUCUGGUAUUCUCUUGGUCCAUUUCCUUUCAUGUUGCUUUUCUUUUUAAUAAAGUCUAACGUCAAACUCC